UGCGGUGAGCCUGUCAUCGUUC
rnacentral:miRNA from 1 species